CAGGGGGUAUUUUAUAUAAAAUAUUAGUUUUGGGGAUUAAUGAAAUGGAUGCUUCCUUUCCCCUGA
rnacentral:tRNA from 1 species